ACGAGAAACUCUAUAGAGGUGCCCC
rnacentral:rRNA from 1 species